rnacentral:piRNA from 1 species
UAUCUUACAGUUGUCCUUUCCGUGAGC